GAUGAACGCUGGCGGCGUGCCUAAUACAUGCAAGUCGAGCGAACAGAUGAGGAGCUUGCUCCUCUGACGUUAGCGGCGGACGGGUGAGUAACACGUGGAUAACCUACCUAUAAGACUGGGAUAACUUCGGGAAACCGGAGCUAAUACCGGAUAAUAUAUUGAACCGCAUGGUUCAAUAGUGAAAGACGGUUUUGCUGUCACUUAUAGAUGGAUCCGCGCCGCAUUAGCUAGUUGGUAAGGUAACGGCUUACCAAGGCAACGAUGCGUAGCCGACCUGAGAGGGUGAUCGGCCACACUGGAACUGAGACACGGUCCAGACUCCUACGGGAGGCAGCAGUAGGGAAUCUUCCGCAAUGGGCGAAAGCUUGACGGAGCAACGCCGCGUGAGUGAUGAAGGUCUUCGGAUCGUAAAACUCUGUUAUUAGGGAAGAACAAAUGUGUAAGUAACUAUGCACGUCUUGACGGUACCUAAUCAGAAAGCCACGGCUAAUUACGUG
rnacentral:rRNA from 1 species